rnacentral:rRNA from 1 species
CCUACGGGAGGCAGCAGUGAGGAAUAUUGGUCAAUGGCCGAGAGGCUGAACCAGCCAAGUCGCGUGAGGGAAGAAUGUCCUAUGGAUUGUAAACCUCUUUUGUCAGGGAGCAAAGUCACCCACGUGUGGGUGUUGGAGAGUACCUGAAGAAAAAGCAUCGGCUAACUCCGUGACAGCAGCCGCGGUAAUACGGUGGAUGCGAGCGUUAUCCGGAUUUAAUGGGUUUUAAGGGUGCGUAGGCGGGUUAUUAAGUCAGCGGUAAAAUCGUGGAGCUCAACUCCAUCCAGCCGUUGAAACUGGUGAUCUGGAGUGGGCGAGAAGUAUGCGGAAUGCGUGGUGUAGCGGUGAAAUGCAUAGAUAUCACGCAGAACUCCGAUUGCGAAGGCAGCAUACCGGCGCCCGACUGACGCUGAGGCACGAAAGCGUGGGUAUCGAACAGGAUUAGAUACCCUAGUAGUC